GACAGAGGAUGCAAGCGUUAUCCGGAAUGAUUGGGCGUAAAGCGUCUGUAGGUGGCUUUUCAAGUCCGCCGUCAAAUCCCAGGGCUCAACCCUGGACAGGCGGUGGAAACUGCCAAGCUGGAGUACGGUAGGGGCAGAGGGAAUUUCCGGUGGAGCGGUGAAAUGCGUAGAGAUCAUGAGGAAGACCAGUGGCGAAGGCGGGUCUCUGGACAGUUCCUGACACUGAGGCACGAAGGCCAGGGGAGCAAACGGG
rnacentral:rRNA from 1 species